UCCCUGGUGGCUCAGAUGGUAAAGCGUCUGUCUACAAUGCAGGAAACCCUGGUUCAAGCCCUGGGUUGGGAA
rnacentral:tRNA from 1 species